AUUGAACGCUGGCGGCAGGCCUAACACAUGCAAGUCGAGCGAGCGGCGGACGGGUGAGUAAUGUAUGGGGACUGCCCGAUAGAGGGGGAUAACUACUGGAAACGGUGGCUAAUACCGCAUACUGUAGGAUAACCCAUAUGGGAUUAGCUAUUAUGUAAGGUAAUGGCUUACCUAGGGGACGAUCCCUAGCUGGUCUGAGAGGAUGAUCAGCCCCACUGGGCCUGAGAACCGGUCCCGCCUCCUACGGAGGCAGCAUUGGGGAAUAUUGCACAAUGGGCUCAAGCCUGAUGCAGCCAUGCCGCGUGUAUGAAGAAGGCCCUAGGGUUGUAAAGUACUUUCAGUCGGGAGGCGUUACCGACAGAAGAAGCACCGGCUAACUCCGUGCCAGCAGCCGCGGUAAUUC
rnacentral:rRNA from 1 species